rnacentral:rRNA from 1 species
AUUGAACGCUGGCGGCAGGCCUAACACAUGCAAGUCGAACGAGUGGCGGACGGGUGAGUAAUGUCUGGGAACCUGCCUGAUGGAGGGGGAUAACUACUGGAGACGGUAGCUAAUACCGCAUACCAUCAGAUGUUCCCCGAUGGGAUUAGCUUGUUGGUGGGGUAAGGGCUCACCAGGGCGACGAUCCCUAGCUGGUCUUAGAGGAUGACCAGCCACCCUGGGACGGAGACACGGUCCAGACUCCUACGGGAGGCAGCAGUGGGGAAUAUUGCACAAUGGGCGCAAGCCUGAUGCAGCCAUGCCGCGUGUAUGAAUAAGGCCUUCGGGUUGUAAAGUACUUUCAGCGGGGAGGCGUUACCCGCAGAAGAAGCACCGGCUAACUCCGUGCCAGCCGCCGCGGUAAUAC